CCCUGAAGCCUAUUGAGCUGUUCUGCUUUCUGCUCCAGCUAUUGAUUACUGGGGUGGAUGGGGUGAGGGGGAACAUGAGCUACUGCCUCCCAGCCACUUUUCAGUGAUGCCACAUCUCGUGACAUCACACUGUCUCCAUGGUGACACAGCAACACAACUGAAUUGAAACAGGAGGAGGCCAAUUAGAACAAGAAAGCUCUUUUGUGGCUGGAACCAUAGUAAUUAGCAGAAAUAAGAGAAGCCGUUAUAAAAAAGACACGGUUGUAACAACGAAAAGCUUGCUUUUAGCUUGCUAGGUCUACAGAAUGUUGAGCACAGCCUGGAUCCAAGAGAUCGCUUUUCAUCUCCCCUCGUGCUGAGCUUUCCUCUCCACUGGAGCCUGAUCACACGUUCAGGAGGCUGCUCAGCUCUUGAGCUUGAGCAGAGCACCCAAGCUGAGGUGCCUUUCAGCCUCCACAAUCAGCACACACGUGUGUGUGGGGGCACAUACAAAAGAAUCCAACCCCAGGCCGCCAAUGCACAGUGACUCACGCCAGCUAAGGCUCCACCCUCAGGGAUGAAGCACACCCGGGGUUUGGAAUGGAUGACAUGAACAAGAUCUGGACCCUCUAAAUUUCUGUUCUGAUUUGUUUGCAACCUCCAACUGAGAGACACACAGGAGCCAUCUCAGCCAGAGCCAGCAGCACCAUGACAGUGCCAAGUCUGACUCCAGCUGAUCUGCACUUCCCAUCCUACGGUGCAGGUUGAUCAGGAAGCACUUGCUGCAUUCCCACAGAUGAGGCAGCUGCUCCAUUGCUCCAAAGAGGCCAGAAGCAACACAGCUCUGGGAAUUCCCCAGAGCUGCUUGGAGUUUCCACAGUCAGGUUCUCAGCCUGAGGCACCACCACUGUGGCCAUGCAUUCAGCCCAUUAAACACCAUGGACAUGCCA